GAAAGAUAAGGAAAACGUAAAAGAAGAAACGCAAAAAUUUCUGCGAGGAAAUUUGGAUUUUUUUUUUACUUCCUUUUCUUCUACUUUCGGUU
rnacentral:ribozyme from 1 species